GCCGAUGUGGCUCAGGGGUAGAGCAGCUCACUCGUAAUGAGCAGGUCGUCGGUUCGAUUCCGACCAUCGGCU
rfam:Syntrophobotulus glycolicus DSM 8271, complete genome.